rnacentral:misc_RNA from 1 species
GAAAUGCGAUAAGUAAUGUGAAUUGCAGAAUUCAGUGAAUCAUCGAAUCUUUGAACGCACCUUGCGCUCCUUGGUAUUCCUUGGAGCAUGCCUGUUUGAGUAUCAUGAAAUCUUCAAAGUAAAUCUUUUGUUAACACAAUUGGUUUCUACUUUGGUAUUGGAGGUCUUUGCAGCUUCACACCUGCUCCUCUUUGUUCAUUAGCUGGAUCUCAGUGUUAUGCUUGGUUCCACUCGGCGUGAUAAGUUAUCUAUCGCUGAGGACACUGUAAAAGGUGGCCAAGGUAAAUGCAGAUGAACCGCUUCUAAUAGUCCAUUGACUUGGACAAUACUUUUAUGAUCUGAUCUCAAAUCAGGUAGGACUACCCGCUGAACUUAAGC